rnacentral:rRNA from 1 species
CACGUAGGCGGGACUUUAAGUCAGGUGUGAAAGACCGAGGCUCAACUUCGGGGUUGCACUUGAAACUGGAGUUCUUGAGGGCAGGAGAGGAAAGUGGAAUUCCUGGUGUAGCGGUGAAAUGCGUAGAAAUCAGGAGGAACACCGGUGGCGAAGGCGACUUUCUGGACUGACCCUGACGCUGAGGUGCGAAAGCGUGGGUAGCAAACA